rnacentral:rRNA from 1 species
UACGUAGGGUGCAAGCGUUUGUCCGGAAUUAUUGGGCGUAAAGAGCUCGUAGGCGGUUUGUCGCGUCUGCUGUGAAAACCCGAGGCUCAACCUCGGGCCUGCAGUGGGUACGGGCAGACUAGAGUGCGGUAGGGGGAGAUUGGAAUUCCUGGUGUAGCGGUGGAAUGCGCAGAUAUCAGGAGGAACACCGAUGGCGAAGGCAGGUCUCUGGGCAUUAACUGACGCUGAGGAGCGAAAGCAUGGGGAGCGAACAGG